GAUGAACGCUAGCGAUAGGCUUAACACAUGCAAGUCGAGGGGCAGCAUGGUCUUAGCUUGCUAAGGCUGAUGGCGACCGGCGCACGGGUGCGUAACGCGUAUGCAACUUGCCUCACAGAGGGGGAUAACCCGUCGAAAGACGGACUAAUACCGCGUACACUCUAUGUUGGGCAUCCAAUGUAGAGGAAAUGAAAUUCGCUGUGAGAUAGGCAUGCGUCCCAUUAGCUAGUUGGUGAGGUAACGGCUCACCAAGGCGACGAUGGGUAGGGGAACUGAGAGGUUGAACCCCCACACUGGUACUGAGACACGGACCAGACUCCUACGGGAGGCAGCAGUGAGGAAUAGUGGUCAAUGGGCGAGAGCCUGAACCAGCCAAGUCGCGUGAAGGAUGACUGUCUUAUGGAUUGUAAACUCCUUUUAUACGGGAAUAACAAGAGUCACGUGUGGCUCCCUGCAUGUACCGUAUGAAUAAGCAUCGGCUAACUCCGUG
rnacentral:rRNA from 1 species